AUAGCUCCCACAAAGAAGGGUGGUGAGAAGGGCUGUUCUGCAAUCAAGGUGGUGACUUGAGAAUAUACCAUCAACAUUCACAAGUGCAUGCAUGGAGUGGGCUUCAAGCAGCAUGCCCCUCAGGCACUCGAGAUCUGGAGGAGAUGGGAAUUCCAGAUGUGUGCAUUGAUACCAGGCUCAACAAAGCUGUCUCGGCCAAAGGAAUAAGGAAUGUCCCAUACUGUAUCUGUAUAUGGUUGUCCAGAAAACGUUAAUGAGGAUGAAGAUUCACCAAACAAGCUCUAUGCUUAGGUUACCUAUGUACCUAUCAUUUUCAAAAAUCCACAGUCAAUGUGGAUGAGAA
rnacentral:lncRNA from 1 species